UACGGGGGGAGCAAGCGUUGUUCGGAUUUACUGGGCGUAAAGGGCGGGUAGGCGGCCACCGCAAGUCGACUGUGAAAUCUCCGGGCUUAACCCGGAAAGGUCAGCCGAUACUGCGGGGCUAGAGUGCAGAAGGGGCAACUGGAAUUCUCGGUGUAGCGGUGAAAUGCGUAGAUAUCGAGAGGAACACCUGCGGCGAAGGCGGGUUGCUGGGCUGACACUGACGCUGAGGCGCGAAAGCCAGGGGAGCGAACGGG
rnacentral:rRNA from 1 species